GACGAACGCUGGCGGCGUGCUUAACACAUGCAAGUCGAACGGAAAGGCCCUGCUUUUGUGGGGUGCUCGAGUGGCGAACGGGUGAGUAACACGUGAGUAACCUGCCCUGGACUGUGGGAUAACUUCAGGAAACUGGGGCUAAUACCGGAUAGGAGCUCCUGCUGCAUGGUGGGGGUUGGAAAGUUUCGGCGGUUGGGGAUGGACUCGCGGCUUAUCAGCUUGUUGGUGGGGUAGUGGCUUACCAAGGCUUUGACGGGUAGCCGGCCUGAGAGGGUGACCGGCCACAUUGGGACUGAGAUACGGCCCAGACUCCUACGGGAGGCAGCAGUGGGGAAUAUUGCACAAUGGGCGGAAGCCUGAUGCAGCAACGCCGCGUGCGGGAUGACGGCCUUCGGGUUGUAAACCGCUUUCGCCUGUGACGAAGCGUGAGUGACGGUAAUGGGUAAAGAAGCACCGGCUAACUACGUG
rnacentral:rRNA from 1 species